UACAGAGGGUGCGAGCGUUAAUCGGAAUUACUGGGCGUAAAGGGCGCGUAGGCGGUUAUUUAAGUUAGAUGUGAAAUCCCUGGGCUUAACCUAGGAAUGGCAUCUGAUACUGGAUGGCUGGAGUGCGGUAGAGGGUAGUGGAAUUUCCGGUGUAGCGGUGAAAUGCGUAGAUAUCGGAAGGAACACCAGUGGCGAAGGCGGCUACCUGGACUGACACUGACGCUGAGGCGCGAGAGCGUGGGGAGCAAACAGG
rnacentral:rRNA from 1 species